GUCCCCAUAGCACAACUGGAUAGGGCACUCGUCUCCUAAGCGAAUGAUCCCGGUUCGAGCCCGGGUGGGGACA
rnacentral:tRNA from 1 species